rnacentral:misc_RNA from 1 species
UGGCUCUCGCAUCGAUGAAGAACGCAGCGAAAUGCGAUAAGUAAUGUGAAUUGCAGAAUUCAGUGAAUCAUCGAAUCUUUGAACGCACCUUGCACCCUUUGGUAUGCCAAAGGGUACACCCGUUUGAGUGUCAUUGUAAUCUCACUACGACCGACUUUUUGUCUGUCGUAUGUGGACUUGGAUGUUGCCGUGAAACCUAUCGACGGCUCGUCUGAAAUGCCUGAGUAUACCCCCACUUUGCGGCGUAUUCGGUGUGAUACAUCUUCACCGGAGUCUGACCCUCACGGGUCGCGUCAGUCAGGGUGUGGCUCUGUGCUUCCAACCGUCUCGCAAGGGACAAUCUUUGACAAUUUGACCUCAAAUCGGGUGGGACCACCCGCUGA